CAAUAGCGUAUAUUAAAGUUGUUGCGGUUAAAAAGCUCGUAGUUGGAUUUCUGCUGAGGACGACCGGUCCGCCCUCCGGGUGAGCAUCUGGUUCGGCCUUGGCAUCUUCUUGGUGAACGUAUCUGCACUUGACUGUGUGGUGCGGUACCCAGGACUUUUACUUUGAGGAAAUUAGAGUGUUUCAAGCAGGCAUACGCCUUGAAUACAUUAGCAUGGAAUAAUAAGAUAGGACCUCGGUUCUAUUUUGUUGGUUUCUAGAAUUGAGAUAAUGAUUAAUAGGGACAAUUGGGGGCAUUCGUAUCAACACGUUAGAGGUGAAAUUCUUGGAUCGUGUUGCGACGAACUACUGCGAAAGCAUUUGCCAAGGAUGUUUUUCAUUGAUCAAGAACGAAAGUAAGGGGAUCGAAGACGAUCAGAUACC
rnacentral:rRNA from 1 species